ensembl:lncRNA
GUAAGGGAGUCUGAGACCAAGGCUGAAAGUUAAGUAGCCUCCACAGCCAGUAUAACAGGUUGAUGGUCUAGGAAGCCAGAUGGGUCCUUACAUCAGCCCUGUGAGGACUUUUGAAUUUGGAUUCCAAUUAAAAUGGCCUAUUCUGGACUUCCCUGGUGGUGCGGCAGAUAAGAAUCCACCUGUCAAUGCAAGGGACGCAGUUUGGCGAGUUUAUGUUCCAGCAACAAACAGCAAGGGGGAAGACAGAGCAUAGAGACUGGCACCACCUUUUACCUACUUCCAUCUGAAAGUGACAUUUAUCGAUUCUGCUUACAAUUCAUUGGUUAAAGCAAGUCCUGUGGCCACACCUAACUUCAAAAAGGCACGGAAGUGAGCUCAUCCUUCAAUGCAGGACUCGGGGCUGAAACACCUCUAAAUGUACAGUUUGACAAGCACCGUCUGCCUUACCACAGGGCUUCCUGUUUCAGAUGGUCAGAGUUCCUUCUGUCGACAGGACUCAAAAGCCUUCAAGGGAAAGUUUGCUUCCGUUGAGAAGUCAUUUUGGUGUGGCCUUUACGACCCUAGAGCAUCAAGGUUAUAAACUUAGGCUCUUGACUCGCACAGAGGCUCCGUCACUUCCUGUGUGUGAAGCUGUAUAGCCUCCUUGUGUCUCUGUCUCCUUCUCCAUACAAUGGAGGUAAUAACAGCACCAA